rnacentral:rRNA from 1 species
AGAUUGAACGCUGGCGGAAUGCUUUACACAUGCAAGUCGAACGGCAGCACGGGGGGCAACCCUGGUGGCGAGUGGCGCACGGGUGAGUAAUACAUCGGAACGUAUCCUAGAGUGGGGGAUAGCCCGGCGAAAGCCGGAUUAAUACCGCAUACGCUCGAAAGAGGAAAGUGGGGGAUCGUAAGACCUCACGCCCAAGGAGCGGCCGAUGCCGGAUUAGCUUGUUGGUGAGGUAAAAGCUCACCAAGGCGACGAUCCGUAGCUGGUCUGAGAGGACGACCAGCCACACUGGGACUGAGACACGGCCCAGACUCCUACGGGAGGCAGGCAGGUGGGGAAUUUUGGGACAAGUGGGGGAAACCCUGAUCCAGCCAUUCCGCGUGAGUGAAGAGGCCUUCGGGUUGUAACGCUCGUUUCGGCAGGAACGUAACGGUUUAGGUUAACUACCCGUACGACUACCUGACGGUACCGUAGUAAGAAGAAGCGAACCGGACUAACGUACGUCGU